CAGUUCGGUUUUAUACAUUUCAAGGAGACCGGAAUUACAGGUCCCCACACACGGUUAACUAAAUGAGGACUUCCUGUGUGGGCAGCAACCACCAAAAAUUUGCAGAGCCGCAUACUUCUCUUUUGGGUGGACUUGUGAACAUCCUAAAAUCUUCCAUGGCCAAAUAAAAGGUGGUGAAACAAAAGUUGGCCUAAUCUAGUAUCCUAAGGACUAAAAAAGGUCUGGUGGGACAUCAGGGACACUGCCACGUAGUAGAAGAGCCUCUCGCUCACUGCUUGCACACAUGCAUGACCACCAUGUCCAUCAAAGAUGCCAAACAUCAGUCCGCUGGUCUGCAGGCAAGAGGCUACACCUCGCCGGUCCUCCACUGGGGAAUUGGCAGCCAGCUGAUUGCUCUCAUACCGCAACACUGAAUUUGGGACUCCACUGUCAAGGUCAAGAAUCUUGUGGGCUGACUCGCCAGCUCGAAGCACUUCAUUUACCUGCUCGGGGCUGAGUUGCAACUGGAAAUCAUCUUCCUCCGUGGACGUGUGUCUGUACGCCUUCUGAAGAGUAAAGCUUGCGCCGCCGCCGCCCGGUCGGUCCAGUCAGUUCCGCGCCUGCGCACAGCGCCACAGCUGCUGUCACCCCGGCCUCACCUCACUCAAGUGGCCCCUAGUCCGGACCCUGCUCCAGAAGGAAGCGCCCUCCUGCCAGCUCUGAUUGGUUCAAAAGCGGAGGCGGGCCCUUGACGGAUAGAGGAAUUGCCCAAUGGCUGAAGACGGCGAGAGACAGCAGAGGGGCGGGACGCGGAGGGCCCAAUGUGGCCCCUUCCCCUCGCCCGGGUUCUGGCGGUAUUUGAGCGCUGGGCUGCCGGACCAGGCAGUCACGUGCCUGAGCACCCCAUCUUUGCUGCCGCCACAUUCUACACACCCCGAACCGAGCGGCCUCUCCAAUUCCUUACUGUUGUUAAUAAUACCCCAUGGCUUCCUCGCCAUUUCAGUUUUGACCGCUCCAGAUGCCUCUCCUAAGCGCCACACCCUUUAUGUUCCGCCCCCUGCGCACCUCCCUCCGGAGGCCCCACGGGCGCCUCAGACAACUCAUCUUCCUGCCAAACCUACUUUUUCUCUUCUCUCUUAACACAGUAGUGGCCCCACCAUCUGUCCAGAGACCCAAGCCAGAAGACCGGCGGUCAUCUAGACGCUUCCCUCUGCCUCACCCUCCCUUUCUUUUCAGUUAUCUAAUCCUGUUCGUUUAGAGGCUUAAGUCAGUGACAGGUUAAAAAAAAAAAUCCAAUCCUACCUCCUAAAUGACUCUCCACCCAACUCCAAGCCUCUCACCGGGUCUCCCCUCCUCCACCUUCGACUUGGUCCUAACCACUCUUCCUCUACAGAGCGGCCAGAACAACGCUUCCAAAACUCAAAUUCCUGCUCUAACGUCCUCAUUGGCUUCUCACCAACCAUUGGGCCGUGAACUGACAAUUACAUUGGCCUGCCUCUGACAAUUAACACAGCAUGGUUAGCAGUUGGUAGGUUGAAAAAGGCAGAGAAACGGGACCCCAGACAGUCCCUCAGUCCCUUCUGGUCCUAACAUUGUGGGAUUCCAGUUAUCACCUGCUUCUUUAUAAAUUAUUUUAAUAGGACUCUUCUAACUGUGGUAAGUCAAACGGAAUCCUUCACUGGAGGCAGAGAAAAAUGGGACAGGGACCAGAAAAAGCCACUUGAAUCCCUGAGAAUUGUCUUCCAGAAGGAAGACACACUGGUGUACCUGGGGAGCCUGGCCAGCCUACUGGGACCCAAGGACAGGCCUGCAAUAAAACUGCUCCUGUCAGACUUGCCCUGGUAUAUUUAUACUGUCACUCGCCCUUAACCGUUUCUGGACGUUCUAAGUCAAGAUUUUCAAUCUCUCUCUUCCUGGACAUUAAGGGGACUGUUUCAGACCCAAACUAAAAAUAACUCUAAAUGGGUGCAAGGCAACUGGGAAGCACACUUUUUUUUUUUUUUUUUUAAGACUAGUCAAGUGCAGUAGUGA